rnacentral:misc_RNA from 1 species
ACUCUCAGUAGAUGACUUAACUCGGUUUCCGCCAUGUUGAAUUCGUAAACGCGAGUGUAUAUGUGUUAUUUGUUUGUGUUUAUUGCCAUACAAACAGUUACAAAGACAUUUUCUGAUACAAAACAUAUAUUCUGAGUAAAAACUUUAAAGGUGGAGAAUUUCAUUACAAUUAGUUCUCAAUGCAUAAUGAUAUUAGAACUGAAAAGUGUCAGACCAUAGACAGAAAUAUGAUCGGUGUACUUUUAUGCUGUAUGAUGAAAAUUGUUGAGUACUCUACUGGAAAACCCCAAGAGAGGAAGAAAGCAAAACCCCCCGGAAGAUAUAGACGCUAUAAAAAGAAGAAAGGAAGGGGCAUGAGUGAACUGGGUGUAGUUCGAUCUAGUCCUGACUCAGACUGCAACAGUAACCUCAAAGGCUCAUGUCUCAGUACUACUUCAUCACAGGACGUGGAUUUCAUUCAAGACAACUCGGACUACCAAUGGUUUUUAGAUUACGGAUAUCGAGAUGGAGGUUCGAAUCACCAUACUAGUAUAUUAUCAUUACCGGAAACAUACGAUGCAGGCGACAACUAUUACGAGGCUUUGGCCAAAAACAUGGACGCUAAUCUUGCUGAAGCUGACAUGGAAAGUUUUAAAACCGAGGAUAUACGAGAUUUGCUAACUAACUUGCCUCCCAUGUGUACGGAUCAUUUAAGUCAGGAAACUAAUAGACAAGGCGAAUCGUAUGCCGAAGUUUCUGGUUCUAUGAUGGGAAAGUUUGAUUUAGAUAGUUUUAUCAGUCCACAUAGUAGUUCACAGGGAGAAGAUUGUUCGGCAAAUUCAAAUUCUAUGUCUAUCUGUAAAUCGGAGCUUCUUUUUAGUCCAGUAAGGGAAUGUCCUAUGCCUGGUGCAAAUUUUUCAGUAGAUUCAUUGGAUUGUGACCUCCAUGAUAUGAUGCUAACAUGUCAAGCUAACAAAGAUAAUUAUACUAUUGCAUUUGAAGGAUCAGUUACCAUGUACAGUGAAGAUAGUGAUUUUCACGAAACAGAUAAGAGUUCCAACACAAAUACCAAUCAGUCCGGUAGUGUAAUCUUGGAUUUAAAAAUACAAAAGCAGAAUUUGAAUAAACUGGUAGAUGGUUCUAUGACACAAUCAGAUUCAAGUAGUUUUACAACUUGGAGUAAACUAAAGAAACAAAAUAGCGAGAAUCAUAUAAGGAGGCCUUCAGGAAAUAAUAAUGAUUCAGAAGAGGAAACAAGUCAUUUAGCCCUGAGUGAUACCAAUUUAAAAAGUCAAAGUAUGCCUAAUUUAUACAAACAAAAAUUAAAGAAUCUCAUCAAUAUAGGAACAAAAAGUGAUAGUAAUUCUUCCACCGAUACUACAAUUAAGAGACGUUCCGUUAAAGUUUUUGAUAUUCACCAUCAAACUCAAAAUACCAGCGGCAGUGGAUGGAUUUCAGAUAUGGCAACUUCAGUUGAUGCUAGCAGUUGCGAAAGUUCAAAUAAUAAACAACCAAAUUUUAGUUUAGUAAAGUUGUUCAUGAAGCAAAAGAGUCUUAGUCAAGAAGGCAUGUCAACUACAAUGGAUCAAUUAUCUUCAUCCGAAAACUGGCCAGGAAUCCAGUCAGUAGAGAGCUCUUUGUCUGACAAAAAUUAUGACCAUUCUAAAAAUCAUGAGUUUAACAGUGACCAAAAAAUUAGUGAUAGUAGUGUGCGAACAUAUGAUCUCAUAGCUGAAGAACCUGAAGAUUUAUUAUCUAAAAGCGAAUCAGUAGAACAACUUUCAGAGAGUAUUAGCAAGAUUGAAUCAGUCAAUGAAAGUUUUGAAAACGAGUCUAAAAAAUCGGAAAAUCUAAACAACAAUGACAGUUUUUCUGUUAAGAAGAGACCAAAGAUUUCAAGUCCUAGAAUGUUCUUAGGUACUAAAAGCGAACUUCUUGAUAGAAGUAUUCAGACAUCUCAAUUUUCUGAAAUAACAAAUCUUAAAAAUGCUACCAAAUCCUCCUUUUCAAAUACAAAACAGCGUGUUAAGCUAGUAGAACCGUCAUUUCUAAACACACUUAAAAAAGAGGGAGAAGUUCAGAAACCGGUUUAUGUUUUAUAUCCUAAUUAUGUUCUGCCAGAUCUUGGAUUUUUAAGUGACAAAAAUGAUAUUACAAAUAUGUUUCUGGUUCCCCAAAAAGCUCCACAAGUAUCGUUCGAUCGCAGAAGACCUUUUAGUUUCAAUGAUAUUGAAACGCUUAAGAGAAAUGGAUUUAGUCAUGUCAAAGACUGGGAUUCCUUAAACAUUCUUCUCCCUCAAGAAUAUCGAAAAAUUUUGUCAGAUGUACCAGAAUUAUCAAGUCACGUUAAAGUAAAUUUGAGAGAGAAACCGACGUUUAUGAGAUCUAAGAGGAGACCGAUGAGUUGUGAUAUGAAUAAUACAAACAUAUCAAGCAGUUCUAGUACUGCCACUCAACCUUCUAGUGGAUAUCGAGGAUCGUCAACAAUAUUAACUGAUUCGCAAAAUAGUCCUGUAUACCAAAACAAUCUUAACCCACUUUUUGUUUAUCGAUACGAUAGUGUAACAAGUUCAGAAGCAAGUCUCGUUAAUAGUGACAGACAAAAACACUGUAUAACAACCACACCUCCAUGUCUGCCUAAAUGUGUCAGUUUGCAGCAUCAAGAAAGUGUACCUAUACGGCCACCACUACCCAAGGGUAUUUUACGGAAAGCAGAUAUAAUUAAAAGAUAUAGUAUGUAUGAGACAAGUGAUGAUGAUCUUUUAAAUGAAGAAAUAUCAUCGAAAAGGAAAUCAUUACCGGAUACAUAUUACUUAACAAGAAACAAAAGAUUUUCCGAAACCGAAGAUGAAGGAGUUGAUGCAGGUACUUCCAGUAGCAGCUUAGACGAACAUCCGGAGUCAUUUUCAAACAAACCUGAUUAUCUUCUUCAAAAUAUAUCUAUGGAUGAACUAAUACAGCUAGAGGAGUUUUUAAAACUCAGCGGAUUUUCAUCAUCAGAAGAAGAAAAAGCCGAGGAGAGUCUGACUCAUUUAAAAUCCUAUGUUAGUAAAUUCUUAUCCUUAAAAAUUAAUCAAGAUGGAGCGGAUCAUUUCGGAGGAAAGAAAAGCGUCAGCUUCGCUGAAAAUAUCAAUGUGGCACCUAAACACUUUGAUACAAAACAUUUUAUUCCUCCUAACAAUUCACCUAAUGUUUCUGCCCUCUUACUGCAGAAGAACUUCCAACCUAAAGUUAUAGCUGACAUGACUAUUUGCGAAGAAAAUGAAAAUAGUCCAAAUUAUUCUAGUCCCCAAACUACACCAAUUCAUCUGUGUAAAGCACCAUCAGACAACUAUGUCCAAAAAAGAUCUCUAAUAAAUGGUGUUAUGGAAGCAGUUGAUCAAGUUAUGCAAUAUUUUUCACUAGCUUCAAAUCAACAGGAACUGAAUACUUUAGGAGACUCUAGUGUAAAUCCAGCAUGCGCAAAACUGGCUCUAACCACUUUAUGCCCUGCCCUGUAUGCUGUAUUAAGUGAUGGCUUAAAGCCUUUCCUAGACACAAGUUUUGGGGCAAUAAACAAUUCAGUAUGGCAGGUUGUAGAAGCUUCUGCACAACAGGGACCAUUAACAAAGGCAUUAAAUGAUCUUGUUAUGAAAAUUAAUAGUGAAGAUGUUAUUAGUGAAGGAUUGGUAAAAUUUAAUGCUUUUAUUUUUGGACUAUUAAAUGUAAGAUCGUUGGAUGCUUGGACAAGCUAUUUAAAAACAAGAGAAAGUAUCUUAAAGAAACAUUAUACAGCUGAUUCUUUGUUGGUUUUAUCACAUACUGGAGGAGCAAAUUUAAGGAACAUGUUGGAUGCCAUGAUAGCUGCUCUACAGCCUCUUGCUUUUCUACCAUUUCAGUUUGAUCUGCUUUUUGAAUAUAAACAGCUACAUUUAAGUUUCAAAAGAAUGGAUUCUUUCCAUCAACUGGUUAGUCCAACACAUAAGCAUGCGUCUUCUCCAAAUUACAAACAGUUCUUAUCCACAAAAUAUGGACUUAGCGUCUCGCCUCACAGCCGUUCAAAUUCUGAAUCAGACGACAUAUCAACAGCAACAACAGUUAAAAAUAAUUUCUACAGUGCCUGUCAUAAAGAUAUAUUAAGUUCGGAUAAUUCGGAAAAGCAUAAGAUGGAAAAAGAACGACCCAGAAGUUGCAUAGAAGACGGAAUAUUAACAAAUGCGCCGAAUUUUAAACUAGGCGAAGAUGUUAAUAUGGUAGCAAAAAAAAGGUGGUCUGGCAUUGCCCUAAACUCAAAGCUAUAUCAAGUGUAUGAUCGACUGGCGAAAGAAGACGAAGAUUACGUGGACAGCUUAGAAACACCGCCUUCUUCAAAGAAGACUGAACUUGAAAGAAAUGAAGCAAAAGAAAACCGUACUUGUGAACCAGAAUCAUUAGAUUCCAAUUUUUCCGAUGAAAAACCUUUAAAUGGUAAAAGAUUUAAGAAAUUACAACAAAGGUGGGAAAUGUUAAGUGGUAGGGAUUCUGAAGAAAGAGAUUCUCCUCCAUCAAGUCCAACCCACGCAAAUAAAUCAAAAAUACCUAGACCUAUAACUUCACCAGUAAAGCCAUCAGGAAUACCAGUUUUAGUUUCUCAUAAAAAAAUUACUUGUUCUCAAGCUAAUAAAAGCAUACCUGGUGUAAAAGGAAUUAAUACUAUUAAAAAUUCACCUGUCAAAAACAGCACACCAAGAGCGAGUCGCGUUGAUCAGGUUGAAAACGAACAAAUAAAACACAUUCCUAGGCCAAGUAGUCUACCUUACAAACCAACUUGUCAAAAUAAUAAAUCAUCCAAACCAGUGGUUCCAAGAAGAGCAGCAUCUAGUUCAUUAAAUAGGAAAUCUCUAGGAGAAAAUCCAAAGAGUGUGACGCCAAAUUUUCUGUAGACAGUAAUGAAAGCGGUCGAGAAAUGUGUUCCAUAAAUAAACAACCGAUAUGUAAGGGUUGUACGAACUGUAAGUCAUAGGCUGCCUUCAGAAAGUGGCCAUUUAUCAUAUAA